rnacentral:rRNA from 1 species
CGUAGGGUGCGAGCGUUAAUCGGAAUUACUGGGCGUAAAGCGUGCGCAGGCGGUUUUGUAAGACAGAUGUGAAAUCCCCGGGCUCAACCUGGGACCUGCAUUUGUGACUGCAAGGCUAGAGUACGGUAGAGGGGGAUGGAAUUCCGCGUGUAGCAGUGAAAUGCGUAGAUAUGCGGAGGAACACCGAUGGCGAAGGCAAUCCCCUGGACCUGUACUGACGCUCAUGCACGAAAGCGUGGGGAGCAAACAGGAUUAGAUACCCUGGUAGUCCACGCCCUAAACGAUGUCAACUGGUUGUUGGGUCUUUACUGACUCAGUAACGAAGCUAACGCGUGAAGUUGACCGCCCGGGGAGUACGGCCGCAAGGUUG